CUCGAUUUCGCCGACGCUGUCGACUUUUGCGAAUAGCUGGUGGACCUUACCGACAGGGGAGAGCCGUCCGUCGUGUCUUUGACCUCUGGCACCAAAGGCGGAACUGCCCUCGCGGUUUCCCUGUCACUGUUGGCAAAGAAGACGUUGAUAGGUUAUAUCUGCCGGUGGCCGAAAUAUGUGGAAAGUGGAAUUAUCAUCGACCAGCUGGCUUUCUGUAUCAAUUUGCAUCGAUUUUCUGGACUCCAGAGCCCUGUCGGUGCAGCAGGUGCCGCAGACCGAGUUGUGGCCACUAAAAGCCCCCCGCAGUGCGGCAUGUACCCCCGUGGCCCUGUGGCAGAUGCAGGCCCCGACCGAGUGGAGAAGGGAACGAGUCCUACGCAGCAGAUCAGAUGCCUGCGCUCCACAUGAUAACGCAUUCUGCAUUUUUCUCCGCUAUCCCAAUCGGACAGAAAUCCAAUUUUUUCUACUGAACACAACGCAUAGUAGACCGACCAACUCGCAAUUGGUGACCACUUGGAGCAACGCGACUUUGCCGACUGUUUGCAAUGCCCGUCGCCAAUCGUUUUGGCUAUUUCGAAUGAAUUUCCAUACCGGGAACCCACAACAAAGCCAAAGUUGCAAACGAAAAACAGGACAUUGCGUUUUCCAAGCAAUCACACGAACGGACACCAACUGGUUAAGGCCCCCACCCACCCACAGGGUGCCAAGUUAGGGCUAUGAAAGGUCGUGGGAUGGUCUAGGGCUAACCAGCAGCGAACUUCCAAACCAACUGGUCACUGGUCUUCGCGCAGUAGUGGCAUUUGGCUUCAGUCGUUCCAGUUCGUAGACCAGGACCUCUUAGUCACCUUCGGGCGCCUUCGUUUCGUUUGCGGAAAGUCCCGAAGUGGGUAACCCAACAAGUUUCCAUGUCCCCAAGACUACUUUAAAGGGAAUAAUUGACUUUACUUCCUACCUGUGGAACGCAUCUUUCUUGUUUUUUGCUUUCGUGCUCUCGGGGACGUCGCGCUGACUGCAUGCAGCCCGCAUGCGUCUUCUCUUGACGGAGUUGGGCGAGGCGGAGCCCUCUCCCUGACAGAUCCAAUCCACAUCCGCUCCAGAAGGCCUGGCUCCGGGAGGAUCAGUUUGGUUGAAAACGAAGAGCACGCCACUGUCGGGCGUCACAAUGGGCAGCUGCAGGCGCGAGAGGCGCACACUUGCCGCCUCCAGUAUCAGUGGUCCAGGCUCUACGCCGACCGUCAUUUCUGAGACGAUGGUAAGGACCUCCUGAAUCGAUGAAAUAUCUGCCAGGACUGCAAGCACCUCCAGAGCAGCCUGGCGCACGCGACGAUUGCGAUUUAGCAGAGAGUAGACGGCCUGAGCCGUCAGGAGAUUUAUGUCAAAGCAGGUGCCCGGAAAACUCAUCAAGGCAAAAAUGGACAUUUGAAGCGCAUGGUCCCGGAACUGCGGAACUCUGGUGAAGUCGAUUUCGCCACAAUGGUUCCAGCCGGAAGGCGCUGCAUCAAAGCCUUGCACACUCGGUUCGCCCCAGCGUUGCCCUGGCGACAAAGUCCCGUCAGGAU